AUUGAACGCUGGCGGCAUGCUUUACACAUGCAAGUCGAACGGUAGCAGGCCGCAAGGUGCUGACGAGUGGCGAACGGGUGAGUAAUGCAUCGGAACGUGCCCUGUCGUGGGGGAUAACUACUCGAAAGAGUAGCUAAUACCGCAUACGAUCUAUGGAUGAAAGCGGGGGACCGUAAGGACACGCGCGAUUGGAGCGGCCGAUGUCAGAUUAGGUAGUUGGUGGGGUAAAGGCUCACCAAGCCAACGAUCUGUAGCUGGUCUGAGAGGACGACCAGCCACACUCGGACUGAGACACGGCCCAGACUCCUACGGGAGGCAGCAGUGGGGAAUGUUGGACAAUGGGCGCAAGCCUGAUCCAGCAAUGCCGCGUGCAGGAAGAAGGCCUUCGGGUUGUAAACUGCUUUUGUACGGAACGAAACGGCUCUGGUUAAUACCCGGGGCUAAUGACGGUACCGGAAGAAUAAGCACCGGCUAACUACGUG
rnacentral:rRNA from 1 species